CACGCCCUAAACGAUGCUUACUCGUUGUUUGAUCGCAAGAUUGAGUGACUAAGGGAAACCGAUAAGUAAGCCACCUGGGGAGUACGACCGCAAGGUUGAAACUCAAAGGAAUUGACGGGG
rnacentral:rRNA from 1 species